rnacentral:rRNA from 1 species
CGUGGGGCAGCAGCUCUGUAGCAAUACAGAGGCUGGCGACCGGCAAACGGGUGCGGAACACGUACACAACCUUCCUUCGAGUGGGGAAUAGCCCGGGGAAACCCGGAUUAAUACCCCGUAACAUAAUGAAGUGGCAUCACUUUAUUAUUAUAGCUCCGGCGCUUGAAGAUGGGUGUGCGACUGAUUAGGCAGUUGGCGGGGUAACGGCCCACCAAACCUACGAUCAGUAACUGGUGUGAGAGCACGACCAGUCACACGGGCACUGAGACACGGGCCCGACUCCUACGGGAGGCAGCAGUAAGGAAUAUUGGUCAAUGGACGCAAGUCUGAACCAGCCAUGCCGCGUGGAGGAUGAAGGCCCUCUGGGUUGUAAACUUCUUUUAUCUGGGACGAAAAAGGGACUUUCUAGUUCAACUGACGGUACCAGAGGAAUAAGCACCGGCUAACUCCGUGCCAGCAGCCGCGGUAAUACGAGGGUGCAAGCGUUAUCCGGAUUCACUGGGUUUAAAGGGUGCGUAGGUGGGUUGGUAAGUCAGUGGUGAAAUCUCCAGGCUUAACUUGGAAACUGCCAUUGAUACUAUUAAUCUUGAAUACCGUGGAGGUCAGCGGAAUAUGUCAUGUAGCGGUGAAAUGCUUAGAUAUGACAUAGAACACCAAUUGCGAAGGCAGCUGGCUACACGAAUAUUGACACUGAUGCACGAAAGCGUGGGGAUCAAACAGGAUUAGAUACCCUGGUAGUCCACGCCCUAAACGAUGGAUACUCGACAUACGCGAUAUACUGUGUGUGUCUGAGCGAAAGCAUUAAGU